AGAAACACAGAGAGCAAGAGAUCGAGAGCCGACCGAGUCCUGGACGCGUCGACGCGUGGUGACGACGUGUCGACGCCUUCAAGUCACUGAGUCAUGCCUCCAUCUCCUCCAGACCGAGUCGCCCAACUCCACACAUCACUCUGGAGCUGAAGAAGUCGAGGGAGAGGUCCUCAGCCUCUCCGUCAUCCUCAACCUCGCCGCCGGUCAUAGUGACGACGACCUUCGCCAUCUCCGUUUGAGUCAAGGUCACCUCCAUCUCUUUCGCGUUCCCAUCUCUCCACACAAUGCCGAGCAUUUCCUCUUUUGACCUAAACCCCUCUCGUGCAGUGCAUCGCUGGGAACGCAAGCCACGCUGACAACGCCCUGGAGCACGCACCGGAGCGCCGCCACUUCAACCAUCGUCGUCGUCCGGCCAUUCUCGACCACCUCAGAGCAAGCCACUGCGCCAUCGUCAUCGCCUCAUCCUCCUCUUCAAUACGCCUCAAGAACCCCAGCCGGAGAUGUGAAGGACUUGGAGAACACAUCUUUUCUUCACCGGCGCCGAUCUAGAAUUGCCUCCGCCGUCAUCAUCGAUUACCGCUGCCUCGCUCAUUGUCCCGUUCGAGCCGUCGUCGUUCACCCGAGGAGGAGCGCCGUCGCCGAGCCGUUCCACAAGUCACCGCUGCCGCCAAGACCUCGACAACCCUAGCUCGACCCACGAUAAUUGCAUAAUCGGUGAAGAAGUGGAUUAGGUGCUAACAUUUAUCUGAUCAAGGCAAGUUUUCUCCUCCCAUCCUUUGAACGCAUUGAAUCCCAUGAUUUGAGGAAUGAAAAUAUUUGUUUGCAAAGUUGCAUGUGAACUUAAACUAUAUUGGUAUUUAAAAUUGGGUUAAGGUAGUUAUGACCUAUUUGCUGCAUUCCCUACCUUGAAUAAUUGAGCCUCUUGCAGCUUGAACCCCUAGAAAUGGUUACAGUACACUCUUUGUGCUCAAAUUGGUUUAUAUAUGCUCUAUGUGCAACUACUUGCUUAGCCAUGCUUAGAAAUAUGCAAAUGCUCAUUCCAUCUAUAAUUAAAAUGUGAUUUUCAUAUGUGAACCUUUGCUGGAAUAAAAUGAAUAUGAUGGGUAUUUGCGAACUAAAAUAUGUAAAAUGUGAUUUUAUACUUGGGCGGCAAGUGGUGUGCAUAUGGUGUUAGUUGCAUACCGAUAGGGGGAGUGUUUGCCCAAGUCCAUAAGGACAGAACUUGUGUUACCCAUUUAAAGUUAUUCGUACAUCCACAUGUGCUAGUAUGGGAUGGCCUAAGCUGAUUAAUCUAUUUAGGAAUAGCCUUGCAUUCUGGUAGGCCGGUGUGUAUGAGUUCGUAUAAUUC